rnacentral:rRNA from 1 species
GACGAACGCUGGCGGCGUGCUUAACACAUGCAAGUCGAACGGAAAGGCCCCUUUGGGGGUCCUCGAGUGGCGCACGGGGGCGUAACACGUGAGUAACCUGCCCUUGACUUCGGGAUAACUUCAGGAAACUGGGGCUAAUACCGGAUAGGAAUCCUUGCUGCAUGGGGGGGGUUGGAAAGCUUCGGCGGUUUUGGAUGGACUCGCGGCUUAUCAGCUUGUUGGUGGGGUAGUGGCUUACCAAGGCUUUGACGGGUAGCCGGCCUGAGAGGGCGACCGGCCACAUUGGGACUGAGCUACGGCCCAGACUCCUACGGGAGGCAGCAGGGGGGAAUAUUGCACAAUGGGCGGAAGCCUGAUGCAGCAACGCCGCGUGCGGGAUGACGGCCUUCGGGUUGUAAACCGCUUUCAGCAGGGGCGAAGCUUGUGGUGACGGUACCUGCAGAAGAAGCACCGGCUAACUACGUG